rnacentral:rRNA from 1 species
UUCCCUUAGUAGCGGCGAGCGAAACGGGAAGAGCCCAAACCAACAAGCUUGCUUGUUGGGGUUGUAGGACACUCUAUACGGAGUUACAAAGGACGACAUUAGACGAAUCAUCUGGAAAGAUGAAUCAAAGAAGGUAAUAAUCCUGUAGUCGAAAAUGUUGUCUCUCUUGAGUGGAUCCUGAGUACGACGGAGCACGUGAAAUUCCGUCGGAAUCUGGGAGGACCAUCUCCUAAGGCUAAAUACUCUCUAGUGACCGAUAGUGAACCAGUACCGUGAGGGAAAGGUGAAAAGCACCCCGGAAGGGGAGUGAAAUAGAACCUGAAACCGUGUGCUUACAAGUAGUCAGAGCCCGUUAAUGGGUGAUGGCGUGCCUUUUGUAGAAUGAACCGGCGAGUUACGAUUUGAUGCAAGGUUAAGCAGUAAAUGUGGAGCCGUAGCGAAAGCGAGUCUGAAUAGGGCGUUUAGUAUUUGGUCGUAGACCCGAAACCAGGUGAUCUACCCUUGGUCAGGUUGAAGUUCAGGUAACACUGAAUGGAGGACCGAACCGACUUACGUUGAAAAGUGAGCGGAUGAACUGAGGGUAGCGGAGAAAUUCCAAUCGAACCUGGAGAUAGCUGGUUCUCUCCGAAAUAGCUUUAGGGCUAGCCUCAAGUGAUGAUUAUUGGAGGUAGAGCACUGUUUGGACGAGGGGCCCCUCUCGGGUUACCGAAUUCAGACAAACUCCGAAUGCCAAUUAAUUUAACUUGGGAGUCAGAACAUGGGUGAUAAGGUCCGUGUUCGAAAGGGAAACAGCCCAGACCACCAGCUAAGGUCCCAAAAUAUAUGUUAAGUGGAAAAGGAUGUGGCGUUGCCCAGACAACUAGGAUGUUGGCUUAGAAGCAGCCAUCAUUUAAAGAGUGCGUAAUAGCUCACUAGUCGAGUGACACUGCGCCGAAAAUGUACCGGGGCUAAACAUAUUACCGAAGCUGUGGAUUGUCCUUUGGACAAUGGUAGGAGAGCGUUCU